rnacentral:rRNA from 1 species
AUACGGAGGGUGCAAGCGUUAUCCGGAAUCAUUGGGUUUAAAGGGUCCGUAGGCGGAUAAUUAAGUCAGGGGUGAAAUCCCACAGCUCAACUGUGGCACUGCCUUUGAUACUGGUUAUCUUGAGUUAUAGGGAAGUAGAUAGAAUAUGUAGUGUAGCGGUGAAAUGCAUAGAUAUUACAUAGAAUACCGAUUGCGAAGGCAGUCUACUAUCUGUAUACUGACGCUGAGGGACGAAAGCGUGGGGAGCGAACAGGAUUAGAAACCCUAGUAGUCC